UACGUAGGUGACCAGCGUUGUCCGGAUUUACUGGGCGUAAAGAGCGCGCAGGCGGUCGUUCAAGUCGAGUGUGAAAGCCCCCGGCUCAACUGGGGAGGGUCACUCGAUACUGAUCGACUGGAAGGCAGGAGAGGGAAGCGGAAUUCCCGGUGUAGUGGUGAAAUGCGUAGAGAUCGGAAGGAACACCAGUGGCGAAGGCGGCUACCUGGACAGAUACUGACGCUGAGGCGCGAGAGCGUGGGGAGCAAACAGG
rnacentral:rRNA from 1 species